GAUGAAGAACGUAGCGAAAUGCGAUAAGUAAUGUGUAUUGCAGAAUUCAGUGAAUCAUCGAAUCUUUGAACGCACAUUGCGCCCCCCAGUAUUCUGGCGGGCAUGCCUGUUCGAGCGUCAUUUCAACCAUCAAGCCCUGCUUGUGUUGGGGUCCUGCGGCUGCCCGCAGGCCCUGAAAACCAGUGGCGGGCUCGCUAGUCACACCGAGCGCAGUAGCACAUCUCGCUCAGGGCGUGCGGCGGGCUCCAGCCGUUAAAGCACCCACCUUUCGCAAGGUUGACCUCGGAUCAGGUAGGAAUACCCGCUGAACUUAAGCAUAUCAAUAAGCGGAGGA
rnacentral:misc_RNA from 1 species